AUUGAACGCUUGCGGCAUGCCUUACACAUGCAAGUCGAACGGUAACAGGGUGCUUGCACCGCUGACGAGUGGCGAACGGGUGAGUAAUGCGUCGGAACGUGCCGAGUAGUGGGGGAUAACGCAGCGAAAGUUGUGCUAAUACCGCAUACGUACUGAGGUAGAAAGUGGGGGACCUUCGGGCCUCACGCUAUUCGAGCGGCCGACGUCUGAUUAGCUAGUAGGUGAGGUAAAGGCUCACCUAGGCGACGAUCAGUAGCGGGUCUGAGAGGAUGAUCCGCCACACUGGGACUGAGACACGGCCCAGACUCCUACGGGAGGCAGCGGUGGGGAAUUUUGGACAAUGGGCGAAAGCCUGAUCCAGCCAUGCCGCGUGUCUGAAGAAGGCCUUCGGGUUGUAAAGGACUUUUGUCGGGGAGGAAAUCCCCAGCGUUAAUACCGCUGGGGGAUGACAGUACCUGAAGAAUAAGCACCGGCUAACUACGUGCCAGCCGCCGCCGUAACAC
rnacentral:rRNA from 1 species